rnacentral:rRNA from 1 species
UUUCUUCUGCCACCGAAUACAUUAGCAUGGGAUAAUGGAAUAGGACCCUGUCCUCCUAUUUUACGUGUUGGUUUUCGAGGACCGGGUAAUGAUUAAUAGGGAUAGUUGGGGGCAUUAAUAUUUAAUUGUCAGAGGUGAAAUUCUUGGAUUUAUGAAAGAUUGACUUCUGCGAAAGCAUCUGCCAAGGAUGUUUUCAUUAAUCAAGAACGAAAGUUAGGGGAUCGAAGACGAUCAGAUACCGUCGUAGUCUUAACCAUAAACGAUGCCGACCAGCGAUUAGGAGACGUUGAAUACAAAACACCACCGUUGGGUCGUGGCGGGCCGUGCCCCGCGGUCCGUCGUGCGCGGCGACGCGUGCGGCGGCCACGGGGACCGCGGUCCGUAUGCCACCCGACGGCCCGGUGAAUGACUCCCCUAGCAGCUUGUGAGAA